rnacentral:rRNA from 1 species
AUUGAACGCUGGCGGCAUGCUUUACACAUGCAAGUCGAACGGCAGCGCGGGCUUCGGCCUGGCGGCGAGUGGCGAACGGGUGAGUAAUAUAUCGGAACGUACCCAAGAGUGGGGGAUAACGUAGCGAAAGUUACGCUAAUACCGCAUACGUUCUAAGGAUGAAAGCAGGGGAUCGCAAGACCUUGUGCUCCUGGAGCGGCCGAUAUCUGAUUAGCUAGUUGGUGAGGUAAAGGCUCACCAAGGCAACGAGCAAUAGCUGGUCUGAGAGGACGACCAGCCACACUGGAGCUGAGACACGGUCCAGACUCCUACGGGAGGCAGCAGUGGGGAAUUUUGGACAAUGGGGGCAACCCUGAUCCAGCAAUGCCGCGUGAGUGAAGAAGGCCUUCGGGUUGUAAAGCUCUUUUGUCAGGGAAGAAAAGGUCGUGGCUAAUAUCCACGACUGCUGACGGUACCUGAAGAAUGAGCACCGGCUAACUACGUGCCAGCCGCCGCCGUAAAAC